UGCUGGAGGUAUCAGAAGUGCGAAUGCUGACAUAAGUAACGAUAAAGCGGGUGAAAAGCCCGCUCGCCGGAAGACCAAGGGUUCCUGUCCAACGUUAAUCGGGGCAGGGUGAGUCGACCCCUAAGGCGAGGCCGAAAGGCGUAGUCGAUGGGAAACAGGUUAAUAUUCCUGUACUUGGUGUUACUGCGAAGGGGGGACGGAGAAGGCUAUGUUGGCCGGGCGACGGUUGUCCCGGUUUAAGCGUGUAGGCUGGUUUUCCAGGCAAAUCCGGAAAACCAAGGCUGAGGCGUGAUGACGAGGCACUACGGUGCUGAAGUGACAAAUGCCCUGCUUCCAGGAAAAGCCUCUAAGCAUCAGGUAACAUCAAAUCGUACCCCAAACCGACACAGGUGGUCAGGUAGAGAAUACCAAGGCGCUUGAGAGAACUCGGGUGAAGGAACUAGGCAAAAUGGUGCCGUAACUUCGGGAGAAGGCACGCUGAUAUGUAGGUGAAGCGACUUGCUCGUGGAGCUGAAAUCAGUCGAAGAUACCAGCUGGCUGCAACUGUUUAUUAAAAACACAGCACUGUGCAAACACGAAAGUGGACGUAUACGGUGUGACGCCUGCCCGGUGCCGGAAGGUUAAUUGAUGGGGUUAGCGGUAACGCGAAGCUCUUGAUCGAAGCCCCGGUAAACGGCGGCCGUAACUAUAACGGUCCUAAGGUAGCGAAAUUCCUUGUCGGGUAAGUUCCGACCUGCACGAAUGGCGUAAUGAUGGCCAGGCUGUCUCCACCCGAGACUCAGUGAAAUUGAACUCGCUGUGAAGAUGCAGUGUACCCGCGGCAAGACGGAAAGACCCCGUGAACCUUUACUAUAGCUUGACACUGAACAUUGAGCCUUGAUGUGUAGGAUAGGUGGGAGGCUUUGAAGUGUGGACGCCAGUCUGCAUGGAGCCGACCUUGAAAUACCACCCUUUAAUGUUUGAUGUUCUAACGUUGGCCCGUAAUCCGGGUUGCGGACAGUGUCUGGUGGGUAGUUUGACUGGGGCGGUCUCCUCCUAAAGAGUAACGGAGGAGCACGAAGGUUGGCUAAUCCUGGUCGGACAUCAGGAGGUUAGUGCAAUGGCAUAAGCCAGCUUGACUGCGAGCGUGACGGCGCGAGCAGGUGCGAAAGCAGGUCAUAGUGAUCCGGUGGUUCUGAAUGGAAGGGCCAUCGCUCAACGGAUAAAAGGUACUCCGGGGAUAACAGGCUGAUACCGCCCAAGAGUUCAUAUCGACGGCGGUGUUUGGCACCUCGAUGUCGGCUCAUCACAUCCUGGGGCUGAAGUAGGUCCCAAGGGUAUGGCUGUUCGCCAUUUAAAGUGGUACGCGAGCUGGGUUUAGAACGUCGUGAGACAGUUCGGUCCCUAUCUGCCGUGGGCGCUGGAGAACUGAGGGGGGCUGCUCCUAGUACGAGAGGACCGGAGUGGACGCAUCACUGGUGUUCGGGUUGUCAUGCCAAUGGCACUGCCCGGUAGCUAAAUGCGGAAGAGAUAAGUGCUGAAAGCAUCUAAGCACGAAACUUGCCCCGAGAUGAGUUCUCCCUGAGACUUAGAGUCUCCUGAAGGAACGUUGAAGACGACGACGUUGAUAGGCCGGGUGUGUAAGCGCAGCGAUGCGUUGAGCUAACCGGUACUAAUGAACCGUGAGGCUUAACCUU
rnacentral:rRNA from 1 species